AACCAAGAGAUUUAGUCAUUCUUUACGGUAAAAAGACAGUUAGGCAGCAGAUUAGAGCCAUUAGACCCUUAGUAUAGGAGUAAAAUCUAGAUACUAGUAGUUAUACCGAAGGUGGUUUAUUUGAGAUGCUGAGGCUGUGAAAGCUUUAAGGGAAACUGGGAUUGGAUACCCCACUAUUUUUAGCUAUAAAUUUACUUUUAAUAUACCAGAGUACUACGAAUAAAAAGUUUAAAACUCAAAGGGCUUGGCGGUGUUUUAGACCUCUCAGGGGAACCUGUCUCAUAAUCGACAGUCCACGUUAAACCUAACCCUUUAUAGUAAUUCAGCUUGUAUACCGUCGUCGUCAGGUAACUUCUUAAAAUAUAGUAGUUAGCUAGAAAAUUUUAUUGAUUAAAACGUCAGAUCAAGGUGCAGCCAAUGAAAGGGGGAGGAUGGGUUACAAUUAUAGAUUUAUAAUUACGGAAAGGGCUUAGAAAUAAAGCAACUUAAAGGAGGACUUGAAAGUAAUUUUAAUUACAUAAAUAGGAUGAAUGCGGCUCUGAAACGUGC
rnacentral:rRNA from 1 species